rnacentral:rRNA from 1 species
UACGUAGGGUGCAGGCGUUAAUCGGAAUUACUGGGCGUAAAGCGUGCGCAGGCGGCUCCUUAAGUCAGAUGUGAAAUCCCCGGGCUUAACCUGGGAACUGCGUUUGAAACUGGGGAGCUUGAGUGUGGAAGAGGGGGUGGAAUUCCAGGUGUAGCAGUGAAAUGCGUAGAGAUCUGGAGGAACACCGAUGGCGAAGGCAGCCCCCUGGGCUAACACUGACGCUCAUGCACGAAAGCGUGGGGAGCAAACAGG